rnacentral:rRNA from 1 species
AACCGGAGGAAGGUGGGGAUGACGUCAAGUCAUCAUGGCCCUUACGGCCAGGGCUACACACGUGUUACAAUGGUCGGUACAGAGGGUUGCCAAGCCGCGAGGUGGAGCUAAUCCCAUAAAACCGAUCGUAGUCCGGAUCGCAGUCUGCAACUCGACUGCGUGAAGUCGGAAUCGCUAGUAAUCGUGAAUCAGAAUGUCACGGUGAAUACGUUCCCGGGCCUUGUACACACCGCCCGUCACACCAUGGGAGUGGGUUGCUCCAGAAGUAGCUAGUCUAACCGCAAGGGGGACGGUUACCACGGAGUGAUUCAUGACUGGGGUGAAGUCGUAACAAGGUAGCCGUAGGGGAACCUGCGGCUGGAUCACCUCUUUAAGGUGAAUCCCGGGAAUCGAAUUCUUUUUUGCAG